GGGCCCGCACAAGCGGUGGAGCAUGUGGUUUAAUUCGAUGCAACGCGAAGAACCUUACCUACUCUUGACAUCCUGCGAAUUUGGUAGAGAUACCUUAGUGCCUUCGGGAACGCAGAGACAGGUGCUGCAUGGCUGUCGUCAGCUCGUGUUGUGAAAUGUUGGGUUAAGUCCCGUAACGAGCGCAACCCUUGUCCUUAUUUGCCAGCGCGUAAUGGCGGGAACUCUAAGGAGACUGCCGGUGACAAACCGGAGGAAGGUGGGGACGACGUCAAGUCAUCAUGGCCCUUACGAGUAGGGCUACACACGUGCUACAAUGGUCGGUACAAAGGGUUGCCAACUCGCGAGAGUGAGCCAAUCCCAAAACCCAUCUCAGUUCGGGAUCGGAGUCUGCAACUCGACUCCGUGAAGUUGGAAUCGCUAGUAAUCG
rnacentral:rRNA from 1 species